rnacentral:rRNA from 1 species
GACGAAGGAUGCAAGCGUUAUCCGGAUUCAUUGGGUUUAAGGGGAGCGUAGGCGGACUUGUAAGUCAGUGGUGAAAUCUGUGGGCUUAACCCACAAACUGCCAUUGAUACUGCAGGUCUAGAGUACAGUUGCCGUUGGCGGAAUAUGACAUGUAGUGGUGAAAUACUUAGAUAUGUCAUAGAACACCGAUUGCGAAGGCAGCUAACGAAGCUGUAACUGACGCUGAGGCUCGAAAGUGCGGGGAUCAAACAGG